CUUAUAUUAAAAAAAUAAUAUUUACUUGUUACAAAAUAAAAAAACGGUUGUCUCUGAAUUAGUAAGCUUACUCUGCUGGAUCAAUAUCUUGUAGACAUAUUAGUAUUAAUAAGUGUCUUUAAAUUAUGAAACAACAUGAUAAAUAUAUGAAUUUCUAGAGUUUAACUUUCAGAAUUUAGAUUUAUCAUUUACCAAUUGUCAAUAAAAAACUAAAAUUGUGAACAUUUAUAAAAAGUAUGCUGUAAGUAUUAUUUGCAUAUAUUUUUUAAUCAGGAUUUUUUUUCCUAGGGACCUCUAAGCAUUGGAUAAUACUUAAUAAUCAAGAAAACGAAGAAAAUACUUUUCUAUUAUAUGUAACAAGUUGCAAAAAACUCCCGGUAACUGAAGCCAAUUCAUCUUUAAAAGCUGAUAAUCCAAGAGGACAUUGUUGAGGAAUUGCAUUGUUACAGCUAAUCACAGCCAUAAUGAAUUCUUUAAAUCUUCGCUCUAUAAUUAUAAUAAAACACUUUAUAUUUUAGAAGUUAGUAAUAAAAAUAAUAACAAUAAUUAAUUAGCAGUUAUUUUCCAUAUAUAUUAAGUAUUGUUAUGAAAAAAGGUCUAUGUGUUAUCUAUUACUAAGCAUUACCACCUUAUGUCAAUAGAAGAGUCACAAAAAAUAAUAUUUAAAAGAAAUACUUAUAAAAAUUAAGAAAAUGACUGUUCAGUAUCAAUUUUUGAAUCAGUAUUUUAAAGAUAUUAGCACUUUUAUAUUAGAGUGGGAGGAAAAGUACUAUUCAUAAUCCAAAAUACUAGUCCAGAAGUUCUUGAUGACCAGGCAUUUUCUUUGUUUCAUCGUUAUUGUUUUCAUGAUCAUGAUGAUCAUUUCUUUGUUUUCAAGUGAGUUAAACAAAUAUAUUUCCAUUUGAAAAUCUUAAAUUGAUGCUAUUUUAAAUUAUAAAACAUAAGAUACUAUGCCUCUAAAAAGAAAACAAUUUUAAAAUGUUUUAUUUUAAAUGUUUGCAUGGUGAUUCCUUAACUACACCUUUUAAAAAAAAAUUUAAUUUUUACUAAUCAUAUGUUAUGACUUAAACUAUCAUCUACUUUUGUUUCUCAAAUGCAACCCUAUAUUUUUUUUUACUAACAGAUUUGAUUUAAUAAAAAUAAUAAUUAUUUUAAAAAAAUCUUAUUUAAUUUGUAGUGAGUCUUUUAAUUUUAAGGGAGAUAAAAAAAUAAGCAUUUACACAAUUCUGUUCAUUGCAAUGCUAAAAAUUUGUAGGGUUUUUUAAUUUAUAGUGUAUACAUCUUGUAGAAAAAAAUGCUUAUUUUUUUCAUCUCCCUUAAGAUUUUUAACUAACUGAAUUUUUAAUUAAAUAAAAAAUAUUAUCUAUAAACUUUUUUUUUUAAUUUUGUAUAAUUAAACCUUCUGAUGGUAAAAAAAAUGAGGUAGCCAUUUAAAAAACUAUCAUCAAGUUGAUGAUAGUUAAGACAUAAGAGAUGAUAUAAAUUUUAUUUUUUGAGUUGACUUACAAAGAAUAAUUAUUUUUAGUCGAGGCUUUUUGUUAUAAUAUUAAAAAAAUUAAUCAUUACUGUUAAAAAAAUAUAUAUAUAUUUUAAAAGAUAUUUGAUCAGACAUAGUUAUGGAAUCACUCUAGUUGUUUAUGAGAUUCUCAGUUUAAUUAAAAGUAAUUAAAAAAAUGUUUGAUUUUGUAACAAAAAGAAAGAAAUGUUUAUUCUUUUAUUGUAUUGAUAAAAUAUUGGGUUUCUAAAUUUUAUAUUAAACUUUAAAUAUAAAUAACUUUUUUCUUUUAUUUUGUUUUAUAAGUUAUUAAUUUAUAAUUUAAUUAACCCUUCAAUUUCUUUCAUAAUAUAUAAAAAUGAUAAUACUAAUUAUAUUUAAUGAAUUAAAAUGAUACCUGUAUAAAUAUUUUUAAAUACUUAGUGAUUUUUAACAAUAAAUAUUAGCUAUUAUAAAUAAAGAUAUUUACCAACUAGUGUUCUUAUUUUAUGCUCUGGUUCCAUUAUACAUAAGACUUGAGAUUCAAUUGUAUUCAUAACAUCUUGGGAUAAUAGUGAUCUAUUAAUGGAUUCUAAGUACUCAUUUGUAUCUUUAAUAGCUUGUUCAACAAUAUUUGGUAACAAUGAGCAAUUAUUUCUAGAAAAUUGUAAUAGUUAAAUUGUUUCUUUUUGUCAAUAUUCAUUAUUAAAUUUAUGAACUUACUUAUA